UCUGCCCAUCAGACGGGGACAACGAUUGGAAACGAUCGCUAAUACCGGAUAGGACGAAAGUUUAAAGGUGCUUCUGGCACCGCUGAUGGAUGAGCCUGCGGCGCAUUAGCUAGUUGGUAGGGUAAAGGCCUACCAAGGCGACGAUGCGUAGCCGACCUGAGAGGGUGAACGGCCACACUGGGACUGAGACACGGCCCAGACUCCUACGGGAGGCAGCAGUAGGGAAUCUUCGGCAAUGGGCGAAAGCCUGACCGAGCAACGCCGCGUGAAUGAUGAAGGCCUUCGGGUUGUAAAAUUCUGUUAUAAGGGAAGAACGACUUUAGUAGGAAAUGGCUAGAGUGUGACGGUACCUUAUGAGAAAGCCACGGCUAACUACGUGCCAGCAGCCGCGGUAAUACGUAGGUCACAAGCGUUAUCCGGAAUUAUUGGGCGUAAAGGGAGCGCAGGCGGUUUAUCAAGUUUGUGGUUAAAGUUCGGGGCUUAACCCCGUGAUGCCACAGAAACUGGUAGACUAAAGUGCAGGAGAGGUGAGUGGAAUUCCAUGUGUAGCGGUAAAAUGCGUAAAUAUAUGGAGGAACACCAGUGGCGAAGGCGGCUCACUGGCCUGUUACUGACGCUGAGGCUCGAAAGCGUGGGGAGCAAAUAGGAUUAUAUACCCUAGUAUUCCACGCCGUAAACGAUGGAUACUA
rnacentral:rRNA from 1 species